rnacentral:rRNA from 1 species
ACGCACGCUGGCGGCGUGCUUCACACAUGCAAGUCGAACGGAAAGGCCCUGCUUUUGUGGGGUGCUCGAGUGGCGAACGGGUGAGUAACACGUGAGUAACCUGCCCUUGACUUUGGGAUAACUUCAGGAAACUGGGGCUAAUACCGGAUAGGAGCUCCUGCUGCAUGGUGGGGGUUGGAAAGUUUCGGCGGUUGGGGAUGGACUCGCGGCUUAUCAGCUUGUUGGUGGGGUAGUGGCUUACCAAGGCUUUGACGGGUAGCCGGCCUGAGAGGGUGACCGGCCACAUUGGGACUGAGAUACGGCCCAGACUCCUACGGGAGGCAGCAGUGGGGAAUAUUGCACAAUGGGCGGAAGCCUGAUGCAGCAACGCCGCGUGCGGGAUGACGGCCUUCGGGUUGUAAACCGCUUCCGCCUGUGACGAAGCGUGAGUGACGGUAAUGGGUAAAGAAGCACCGGCUAACUACGUG